UGGGGAAUUUUGGACAAUGGGCGCAAGCCUGAUCCAGCAAUACCGCGUGUGUGAAGAAGGCCUGAGGGUUGUAAAGCACUUUCAAUGGGGAGGAAAAAGCGUAGAUUAAUACUCUGCGUAUUGACAUUACCCAUACAAGAAGCACCGGCUAACUCCGUGCCAGCAGCCGCGGUAAUACGGAGGGUGCAAGCGUUAAUCGGAAUUACUGGGCGUAAAGCGUGCGUAGGCGGCCUGUUAAGUCAGUUGUGAAAUCUCCGAGCUUAACUCGGAACGGUCAACUGAUACUGUCACACUAGAGUACAGAAGGGGCAAUCGGAAUUCUUGGUGUAGCGGUGAAAUGCGUAGAUAUCAAGAGGAACACCUGAGGCGAAGGCGGGUUGCUGGGCUGAUACUGACGCUGAGGCGCGAAAGCUAGGGUAGCAAGCGGGAUUAGAUACCCCAGUAGUCCCUGAGCGGGCUGGCAAGGCGCAU
rnacentral:rRNA from 1 species